rnacentral:rRNA from 1 species
GAUGAACGCUAGCGGCAGGCCUAAUACAUGCAAGUCGAGGGGUAACAGGUGUAGCAAUACAUGCUGACGACCGGCGCACGGGUGCGUAACGCGUAUGCAACUUACCUUUAACUGGGGAAUAGCCCCGAGAAAUCGGGAUUAAUACCUCAUAACAUCUAUCAUUCGCAUGUUUGAUAAAUUAAAGCUCCGGCGGUUAAAGAUGGGCAUGCGUGACAUUAGCUAGUUGGUGAGGUAACGGCUCACCAAGGCUGCGAUGUCUAGGGGUUCUGAGAGGACAACCCCCCACACUGGUACUGAGACACGGACCAGACUCCUACGGGAGGCAGCAGUAAGGAAUAUUGGGCAAUGGACGCAAGUCUGACCCAGCCAUGCCGCGUGCAGGAUGAAGGCCCUAUGGGUUGUAAACUGCUUUUGUACGGGAAGAAACCCCCUGACGUGUCAGGGGUUGACGGUACCGUGCGAAUAAGCACCGGCUAACUCCGUGCCAGCAGCCGCCGUAAGAC